rnacentral:rRNA from 1 species
CCUACGGGGGGCAGCAGUGGGGAAUAUUGGGCAAUGGGCGCAAGCCUGACCCAGCAACGCCGCGUGAAGGAAGAAGGCUUUCGGGUUGUAAACUUCUUUUGACAGGGAAGAGCAGAAGACGGUACCUGUCGAAUAAGCCACGGCUAACUACGUGCCAGCAGCCGCGGUAAUACGUAGGUGGCAAGCGUUAUCCGGAUUUACUGGGUGUAAAGGGCGUGUAGGCGGGACUGCAAGUCAGAUGUGAAACCCAUGGGCUCAACCCAUGGCCUGCAUUUGAAACUGUAGUUCUUGAGUGAUGGAGAGGG